CCUACGGGAGGCAGCAGUAGGGAAUAUUGGGCAAUGGGCGGAAGCCUGACCCAGCCACGCCGCGUGCAGGAAGACGGCCCUCUGGGUUGUAAACUGCUUUUAACUGGGAAGAAAGCAGCUCAUGCGUGAGAAUUUGACGGUACCAGUUGAAUAAGCCACGGCUAACUACGUGCCAGCAGCCGCGGUAAUACGUAGGUGGCGAGCGUUAUCCGGAUUUAUUGGGUUUAAAGGGAGCGUAGGCGGCUGAUUAAGUCAGCGGUGAAAGGUAGCAGCUUAACUGUUUUACAUGCCGUUGAUACUGGUUAGCUUGAGUUGACAGAAGGCAGAUAGAAUUCCUGAUGUAGCGGUGAAAUGCUUAGAUAUCAGGAGGAAUACCGAUUGCGAAGGCAGUCUGCUGCAGUCACACUGACGCUGAGGCUCGAAGGUGCGGGGAUCAAACAGGAUUAGAUACCCUGGUAGUCCGCACAGUAAACGAUGAUUACUAGAUGUUGGNUAUGCAGUGUCGAACGGAAACCGGAACGUAAGUAACUACCACCGUCGGGAGGUACGGCCGGCCGACCGGUACGGUAAACGUUAAACGGUAAGUUAGUACGGCGUAGAGACGUUAGCCGACGGACGACGACGAGGGAGGAGGG
rnacentral:rRNA from 1 species